rnacentral:rRNA from 1 species
CUCAGUUCGGAUUGUAGGCUGCAACUCGCCUACAUGAAGUUGGAAUCGCUAGUAAUCGCGAAUCAGAAUGUCGCGGUGAAUACGUUCCCGGGUCUUGUACACACCGCCCGUCACACCACGAGAGUUUACAACACCCGAAGUCAGUGGCCUAACCGCAAGGAGGGAGCUGCCUAAGGUGGGGUAGAUGAUUGGGGUGAAGUCGUAACAAGGUAAC